rfam:Myotis brandtii contig190155, whole genome shotgun sequence.
CGUGCACCGGUGGAGUCCCUCGGCCUGGCCUGUGCCCUCUUGCAAUCUGCAGGCCAGGCCGAGGGACCCCACUGGUGCACA